GGGUGUUUUGAAACAACACAUGUGUAAAUGAAUGACUAUUUGAAUGCACGACUGCUGAAAUGGACGAAUGAUAAAGAAAUGAAUUCGUCUGAAACUAUCACCUUAUUUUAAUAAGUAGAAAGUAGAAAAAAGAUAACUGGUGAGCUCCUAGCUAAUAUUUCACACCGGUAAACAAAUUCACUGCGUUGUCUCCCUUUUUCCUAGGAGGGUUUUGCCCUCAGAUGAGUCUAACGACGAGAAUCCUUGCAGCAGGUGAGCUCCCCAGGUCCAGCCGACCAUUUGCUCAGCUACAAGACAGAGACGUCUCGCUUCAGAGCAGCAGCUGUUACCAUCUCAUACAUGGCCAGUUUGAUCACUCUGCAGAAUCAAAUGCUGAAUUUAGGCAAAUACAGGGAGUCAACGAACAGGUGGAUUUCUAACAGAAUACCAAUCGAUUCAGCCAGCAUGGGCAGGCCAGCUGUGUCUGUCGAUGCAAUAAUUAGCACCUGGCAGCACCUGUGCAGACCAGCCUGCCAUCAGUGUUUACAAGCCGGAAUUGAAGAGGUCUCUCAGCAAGCUGACCACAAAGGAGUGAAGAGGCAAAUGUUCUCUGAUUUUUUUCAUCAUAAUAUCCUCUGAUGACAUCAGCUGUGUUUGGGAGUUGCCGGUAUGAUUCAGUUUGCUGUUCUAGAAGAAACUUCAACUGAGGUAUUUGGAAAUGUGAUCAUGAAACCACAAUUGUGCAUUAAAAUUCCAAUGCUGUCACUGUUUU
rnacentral:lncRNA from 1 species